CAAUGGGCUCUGCGAACGGUUCAAUGGGACAUUGAAACAGAUGCUCUGAACCUUCGCUGAAACUCAUCGGGACUGGGAGUGGUUCCUGCCACAUCUCCUAUUUGCGUAUUGGGAGGUGCCACAGUAAUCCACGGGAUUCUCCCCAUUUGAACUGUUGUACGGGAGAUGAGUACGAGGUCCCCUGGACCUCAUUAAGGAGCACUGGGAGAGAGAUCGCAACACUGAUGGUACCCCCAUCAUACCAUAUGUGCUG